GGGGAUGCUGGGCCUGGCACCAGGUGGCAUCAAUGCAGGCUCCACCUCUCUUGGAUACUGAGGGAGGAUCUGGCAGCACCCGGAGAAGGCUGGAGGCUUCACCUCCAAAAGCUUUUCCGUGUUCUGAGCGCGGUGAUGGGAAGGGAGAGCGGGAGUUGCUGCCUCGCCAGGUGCUGGUGAGGAUUUCUGCUGCAGUUGCGAGCAAAUUCUGCCCCACAGCUGCAGCCAGUGAGCUGGAGAUCUCCAUGCCAGCUGUGGAGAGGGCACAGCCAGGAUCGAGCACAACCUCUACAUCCUGAAAAUGCUUCCUACACCCACACGGACGGGUUCCAGGCAUCAUGCACCAUGAGGAUCCUUUCAGAGGGAGCCUCUUUUUAUCAUCUAACCCAGUCUGGCUCAUUUUGGCACCAGGACGAGUUUGUGGUGACUCCACCAGGACAGGAGAGACUUGUGACACAGCUUGAUCGGCCACAAUCCAUAAUUCCUUUUAAAAAAGUGGGUUCUUCGUGGUGGCCCAGGAAACUCCCGGAGUUCCAGAAUCCUGCACGGAAGUAGAGAUCAUUCCUUGUGUUUGCGCUGCCUGUUGGAGGGAUGGCAGGGACUCUGCUCGGGGAGUGCAGAACCUGAGCACAAAUCCCCUCAGGACUCGGUGUCGGUGGCUCCCAACUCUGCCCUCAGCAGCUUUUUUCCAGUUUGUGAAUAGAAACAUGGGAUGCAUCUGUCCAGUGAAGAGAAAAUAAAGAUCCCCUGAAACUCCCCAUUAAAUUUAAUAAUAAAAUAUUGGUG